rnacentral:tRNA from 14 species
GCCCUUAUAGCUCAGUUGGUAGAGCAUCUGAUUUGUAAUCAGAGGGUCGGGAGUUCGAGUCUCUCUGGGGGCACCA